rnacentral:rRNA from 1 species
GGGUUGUGAGGUUAAGCGACUAAGCGUACACGGUGGAUGCCCUGGCAGUCAGAGGCGAUGAAGGACGUGCUAAUCUGCGAUAAGCGCCGGUAAGGUGAUAUGAACCGUUAUAACCGGCGAUUUCCGAAUGGGGAAACCCAGUGUGACUCGUCACACUAUCAUUAACUGAAUCCAUAGGUUAAUGAGGCGAACCGGGGGAACUGAAACAUCUAAGUACCCCGAGGAAAAGAAAUCAACCGAGAUUCCCCCAGUAGCGGCGAGCGAACGGGGAGGAGCCCAGAGCCUGAAUCAGCAUGUGUGUUAGUGGAAGCGUCUGGAAAGGCGCGCGAUACAGGGUGACAGCCCCGUACACAAAAGCGCAUGUGUUGUGAGCUCGAUGAGUAGGGCGGGACACGUGGUAUCCUGUCUGAAUAUGGGGGGACCAUCCUCCAAGGCUAAAUACUCCUGACUGACCGAUAGUGAACCAGUACCGUGAGGGAAAGGCGAAAAGAACCCCGGCGAGGGGAGUGAAAAAGAACCUGAAACCGUGUACGUACAAGCAGUGGGAGCCCCACCACUAAGCCAGUGGUGAACUCCACAUACGCAUCCUUUGCUGAAGGUGCGGUUAACGGAGCGCAAGCGACGUUCAACCUCAAAAGAAGCAGA